rnacentral:rRNA from 1 species
AGCAGCCGCGGUAAUUCCAGCUCCAAUAGCGUAUAUUAAAGUUGUUGCAGUUAAAAAGCUCGUAGUUGAAUUUCGGGAUCAGUAGGUCGGUCGUGCCACUGGUAUGAACUGGUCUCACUGGUUCCUCCCUCUUGACGAACUGCAAUGCUAUUAAUUUAGUGUAGUAGGAAAUCAGGACUGUUACUUUGAAAAAAUUAGAGUGUUUAAAGCAGGCUUUGGCUUGAAUACAUUAGCAUGGAAUAAUGAAAUAGGACGUUCGAUCCUAUUUUGUUGGUUUCUAGGAUUGACGUAAUGAUUAAUAGGGACAGUUGGGGGCAUUAGUAUUCAAUUGUCAGAGGUGAAAUUCUUGGAUUUAUUGAAGACUAACUACUGCGAAAGCAUUUGCCAAGGAUGUUUUCAUUAAUCAAGAACGAAAGUUAGGGGAUCGAAGACGAUCAGAUACCGUCGUAGUCUUAACCAUAAACUAUGCCGACUAGGGAUCGGAUGAUGUUAAUUUUUAAUGA